rnacentral:lncRNA from 1 species
AGACCUGCACAAUACAGCGCCGAGCAAGACCAGAGGCCACCACACUCUUGGCAGCCUGCCUAACAAUGUAUGCACCACUUCUGUCCACCUUUGUGGGGUCCUUGCCUGAGAAAGCGCCUCCACCAUGAGCACCCCAUCCACCAUAAGUGUCAAUGAUAAUCUUACGGCCAGUGAGUCCUGCAUCUCCAUGAGGCCCACCAAUAACAAACCGACCAGAAGGGUUGAGGUGGAAGAUGGUCUUGUCAUCAAGAUAUUGAACUGGGAUAACAGGCUUAAUCACAUGCUCUUUCAGGUCCGCUGCAAUCUGCUCAUUAGUGACAUUCUCAUCAUGUUGUGUUGAGAUAAGAAUCGUGUGAACCCGGAUAGGCACCAUGGCUCCACCUUCAUUCUUGUACUCAACAGUAACCUGGGUCUUCCCAUCAGGCCUUAACCAUGGGCAUGUCUUGUUCUUUCUCACCUCAGUUAGCUUGGCACCAAGCUUGGUGGCGAGGACGUGAGUUAAUGGCAUGAGCUCAGGUGUUUCAUCAGUAGCAUAGCCAAACAUAUGGCCUUGGUCACCAGCACCAAUUUCCUCAGGCUUCUUGGUGAGGUGUCCAUGAACUCCUUGGGCUAUGUCAGGACUCUGCUGUUCAAUGUUGACAAGGACCUUGCAGUUGUCAGCAUCGAGGCCAACGUCAGCUGAUGUGAAGCCAAUGCCUCUGCAAGUAUCCCGGACAAUUUUCUCGUAGUCCACGUUAGCCUUGGUUGUGAUCUCACCAAAGACCAUGACCAUGUUAGUCUUUGAGCAGGUCUCACAGGCAACCUUGCUCUCAGGAUCUUGCGCAAGGCAGGCAUCAAGGAUGGCAUCCGAGACCUGGUCACAAAGCUUGUCUGGGUGGCCUUCAUUUACAGACUCAGAGGUGAAUAGGAAGGUAUCCAUGUUAAAACUGGACCUG